rnacentral:rRNA from 1 species
UACGUAGGUCCCGAGCGUUGUCCGGAUUUAUUGGGCGUAAAGCGACCGCAGGUGGUUUAUUAAGUCUGGUGUAAAAGGCAGUGGCUCAACCAUUGUAUGCAUUGGAAACUGGUAGACUUGAGUGCAGGAGAGGAGAGUGGAAUUCCAUGUGUAGCGGUGAAAUACGUAGAUAUAUGGAGGAACACCGGUGGCGAAAGCGGCUCUCUGGCCUGUAACUGACACUGAGGCUCGAAAGCGUGGGGAGCAAACAGG